rnacentral:rRNA from 1 species
UACAGAGGGUGCGAGCGUUAAUCGGAAUUACUGGGCGUAAAGGGUGCGUAGGUGGUUAUGUAAGUUAGGUGUGAAAUUCCCGGGCUUAACCUGGGGACUGCGCCUGAUACUGUAUGACUAGAGUACUGUAGAGGAAGGUGGAAUUUCCGGUGUAGCGGUGAAAUGCGUAGAUAUCGGAAGGAACAUCGGUGGCGAAGGCGACUUUCUGGACAGCUACUGACACUGAGGCACGAAAGCAUGGGGAGCGAACAGG